rnacentral:tRNA from 1 species
GCCGAAGUGGCGGAAUUGGUAGACGCGCAUGAUUCAGGUUCAUGUGCCCGUAAGGGUGUGGAAGUUCGAGUCUUCUCUUCGGCA